rnacentral:rRNA from 1 species
UACAGAGGGUGCUAGCGUUGUUCGGAAUCAUUGGGCGUAAAGCGCGCGUAGGCGGUCUAUUAAGACAGGUGUGAAAUCCCCGGGCUUAACCUGGGAAUUGCAUUUGUGACUGCACGGCUAGAGUGUGUCAGAGGGGGGUAGAAUUCCACGUGUAGCAGUGAAAUGCGUAGAUAUGUGGAGGAAUACCGGUGGCGAAGGCAGCGCCCUGGGAUAACACUGACGCUCAUGCACGAAAGCGUGGGGAGCAAACAGG